AGUGAACGCUGGCGGUAGGCCUAACACAUGCAAGUCGAACGGCAGCACAGUAAGAGCUUGCUCUUACGGGUGGCGAGUGGCGGACGGGUGAGGAAUACAUCGGAAUCUACUUUUUCGUGGGUGAUAACGUAGGGAAACUUACGCUAAUACCGCAUACGACCUACGGGUGAAAGCAGGGGAUCUUCGGACCUUGCGCGAUUGAAUGAGCCGAUGUCGGAUUAGCUAGUUGGCGGGGUAAAGGCCCACCAAGGCGACGAUCCGUAGCUGGUCUGAGAGGAUGAUCAGCCACACUGGAACUGAGACACGGUCCAGACUCCUACGGGAGGCAGCAGUGGGGAAUAUUGGACAAUGGGCGCAAGCCUGAUCCAGCAAUACCGCGUGGGUGAAGAAGGCCUUCGGGUUGUAAAGCCCUUUUGUUGGGAAAGAAAAGAAGCAGGUUAAUACCCCGCUGUUCUGACGGUACCCAAAGAAUAAGCACCGGCUAACUUCGUG
rnacentral:rRNA from 1 species